CCUACGGGAGGCAGCAGUGGGGAAUCUUGCGCAAUGGGCGAAAGCCUGACGCAGCGACGCCGCGUGAGGGAUGAAGGUCUUCGGAUCGUAAACCUCUGUCAGCAGGGAAGAACGGUCACUGUGCUAAUCAGCAGUGAAUUGACGGUACCUGCAAAGGAAGCACCGGCUAACUCCGUGCCAGCAGCCGCGGUAAUACGGAGGGUGCGAGCGUUAAUCGGAAUUACUGGGCGUAAAGCGCUCGUAGGCGGUAUGUCAAGUCAAGGGGGAAAUCCCCGCGCUCAACGUGGGAACUGCCUUUGAAACUGGCAAACUGGAGUGUGUGAGAGGAUAGUGGAAUUCCAGGUGUAGGAGUGAAAUCCGUAGAUAUCUGGAGGAACAUCAGUGGCGAAGGCGACUAUCUGGCACAUAACUGACGCUGAGGAGCGAAAGCGUGGGUAGCAAACAGGAUUAGAUACCCCGGUAGUC
rnacentral:rRNA from 1 species